UUGGAUUUCAGUUAAUUAUUCCUUAUACUUUAGGGGUUAUAGGGAAGGAAUAGAAGUUAAAAAAAAAAAGAACAACUACUUCUCUGGCACAGUAAUUGCUCUAAUAUUAUGUAAGCUAAGCAGCCCCUCAUGCCUUGCACUGCCCCUAAAAAAAAAAAAAAAAAAGAAAGAAAAAAGAAAUUGGCCUCCAUGUGACUGUUAUAGUGGCUAAGGAACAAGAAUGAAGUGAAAAAACAAGAUGUAGUCUUUGAAAGCCACCUUUACUUGGGAGGCUGGUUAUAUAUUUAGUCUAUUAUGUACAGUGCCUUCUAACUAUAGCUACUAAGAUAAAGGCAACAAUUAUAAACCUGUUCUAGAUUGGUUUUGGGUACCAUGUUUAUAAUGUGAAGCUUACCUACAUGAUUCCUUUAACACUUUACUUUUUGCAGUAUAUGAUCUAUGUGCAUGGUUUAGACUGGGUCAUUUCUCCAGCUCCGGCAGAUGAAGACUGGGUGGAAGACAGGAAGAGACGAUGGCACCAACAAUGUGUUCCUCUGUCUGAAAGACAUAAUUGCUUGAUGGAAGAAUAGUCUGUUCGACUCCUGGGUGUGAUGGAAGUGAUGCUGGCUGCAUAAGACUACAAAGUAGUGGAUUAGCAUGAGGGGAAGAUGGUUACUACUUCCAUGCCACAACUGGGCAAAUAAUGUUCUCCUCACCUGGAGGACUGGAUCUUCACUAAUGAUGCAAAAGUUCCACCAUGUAUAUUCAAAAUUUGGAAAUAAAACUGUCACUGAUUGUUUUUCUAGGAAGACUAAAUUAGGAGGUUUUCAUUACUGUUCUUUAUAAUAUAAAAUGAUUCAGCUUCAAGUUACUCAGUAUCUGAAUAUGAGUUAGACAAAAUACUUUUCAGCAUUUUGAUGGAUUAUGAAGCCUCACCUUAUAUAUCUUAAUUGUUAGAAUUUUCUUUGGAUUUGUAUGAACUGUCAAGCUUUAUAAUUUGUGUGUAUGUAUUUCAGUAUAAAAUUCUUGUCUGCCUCAACCUAUUUUAUUGCUCUUCAUGAUGCUACGUUAAUGUCAAGCAUCAUGACACAAGUUGAAUAUAUUCAUUCAAAUGAAAACUACCCUUCACACAAUCCUUAUUUCAACCUCUUUUUAGCAUAUUUUUGGAAGCUUUAAAGAGGCAGACGAUGUUCCAAGUUCCAAUUAGAAGUAAACAACAUAUUAGCAGAGUAUUUUGGUCAAAUAAGAAAAUAAAAUCAUUUUUUUCAGAAAGAUUCA
rnacentral:lncRNA from 1 species